GAUGAACGCUGGCGGCGUGCCUAAUACAUGCAAGUCGAGCGAACAGACGAGGAGCUUGCUCCUCUGACGUUAGCGGCGGACGGGUGAGUAACACGUGGAUAACCUACCUAUAAGACUGGGAUAACUUCGGGAAACCGGAGCUAAUACCGGAUAAUAUAUUGAACCGCAUGGUUCAAUAGUGAAAGACGGUUUUGCUGUCACUUAUAGAUGGAUCCGCGCCGCAUUAGCUAGUUGGUAAGGUAACGGCUUACCAAGGCAACGAUGCGUAGCCGACCUGAGAGGGUGAUCGCCCACACUGAAACGGAGACCCGUCCCAGACCCCUAGGGAGGGAGGCAGAGGGAAUUCGUCCCGAGUGGGCAAAGGCUGAACGAGCCACGGCCGCGUAGUUGUAGAAGGUCUCCGUAUCUAAAACUCUGUUAUUAGGGAAGAACAAAUGUGUAAGUAACUAUGCACGUCUUGACGGUACCUAAGCAGAAAGCCACGGCUAACUACGU
rnacentral:rRNA from 1 species